GUAAAAUGAAGACAGAGGAGAUUACUUUUUUUUCUAUUUCCUUCCCCUCAUUUUUGCUGGGGGCUCUUGUUUCUCUAUCACUUGUUAUUUAGCACUCUUGACUUGUUAUGUCUAACUGGAUAUUGCUAUUACUAGACUUCAGGGCAAGUGUACAGCUAAUUAGAAGUGAACAAAAACCCAAGUACCCAGGUUCAACAAACAACUGAGAAGAUCACCAGAGCAAAUGAUUCAUACUUAUGGUAUUCUCACUCUAAAAGAAUCAGAAGACAUAAAUAAAUAGUGAGUAAAUUGAAGGAUGGCUCAGAUGUUGUCUUUCAUGAAGGAAAUAAAAGAGAGAGCAGAGAUCAAUUUUUAUAUACUCCCAAGGACUACAAGAAAUAUUAUUGAUGGAAUAUAUAAUAAAGUCCAAAAGUGAUCAAAGGCCAUUUCAACAAACUUUGGAUAGAUGAAGCCAUCUGCAUCCAGAAAAAAAAAAAAAAAUGGAGAUCAACACAUGUUAUAUUCACUUCUUUUUUCUGUUUUUUUUUUCACUCUCAUGAUUUUCCCCCUUUGUUUUGAUUUUUCUCUCCAAAUAUGAUUCACAAAGAAAUGUAUAUUUUAAAAAGUGAACAUACAUGGAUAGCCAGUAAAAAAAAAUUAAAUAAAAAUAUUAAACAAAACAUUUUUAAGUACUUAGUUUCAUUUUUCUCUAUCCAUUUAAGUGUUGGUCAUUUUCUAAAUGGUCAACAUUAUGUCAAAAAAAAACUAGUUCUAGGAGUCUUAAAAGUAA